rnacentral:rRNA from 1 species
UACGUAGGGGGCAAGCGUUGUCCGGAUUUAUUGGGCGUAAAGAGCGUGUAGGCGGCUAGACAGGUCCGCUGUGAAAACUCGAGGCUCAACCUCGAGACGUCGGUGGAAACCGUUUGGCUAGAGUCCGGAAGAGGAGAGUGGAAUUCCCGGUGUAGCGGUGAAAUGCGCAGAUAUCGGGAAGAACACCAAUGGCGAAGGCAGUCCGCUGGGCCGUUGCUGACGCUCAUGCACGAAAGCGUGGGGGAGCAAACAGG